GGGGAGGUAGCUCAGUGGUAGAGCGUCCGCUUCGCAUGCGGAAAGGCCGGGGUUCGAUCCCCCGCAUCUCCA
rfam:Nematostella vectensis strain CH2 x CH6 NEMVEscaffold_161_Cont16368, whole genome shotgun sequence.